CCGGGUUGGGAGGGCAGG
rnacentral:misc_RNA from 1 species